rnacentral:rRNA from 1 species
UCGAGAAUCUUCCACAAUGGACGAAAGUCUGAUGGAGCGACGCCGCGUGAUUGAUGAAGUCCCUCUGGGACGUAAAGAUCUUUUAUGAGGGAAGAAGUUUAUUGACGGUACCUCAUGAAUAAGAGGCUCCUAAUCUCGUGCCAGCAGGAGCGGUAAUACGAGAGCCUCGAGCGUUAUCCGGAAUUAUUGGGCGUAAAGGGUGCGUAGGUGGCUAUGUUAGUCUUUUGUCAAAGCCCCGAGCUUAACUUGGGAAUCGCGAAAGAAACGGCACAGCUAGAAAUUGUGAGAGGCGUACGGAACUCAUGGUGUAGGGGUGAAAUCCGUUGAUAUCAUGGGGAACACCAAAAGCGAAGGCAGUACGCUGGCGCAUAUUUGACACUCAAGCACGAAAGCGUGGGUAGCGAAUGGGAUUAGAUACCCCCGUAGUCC